rnacentral:rRNA from 1 species
UUAUAAGAUCCCUCAAAGAUGAUGAGGUUAAUAGGUUCGAGGUGGAAGUACAGUAAUGUAUGGAGCUGACGAAUACUAAUCGAUCGAAGACUUAAUCAAUUU